CAAUAGCGUAUAUUAAAGUUGUUGCGGUAAAAAAGCUCGUAGUUGGAUUUCUGUUGAGAGCGACCGGUCCAUACCAUGUAUGCGUAUCUGGCUUGCUCUCGGCAUCCUCUCGAUAGACGUUACUGCGCUUGAUUGCGUGGUGCGGAUCUCGGGACUUUUACUUUGAGGAAAUUAGAGUGUUCACGGCAGGCUUUCGCCAGAAUACAUUAGCAUGGAAUAAUACUAUAGGAUCUUGGUUCUAUUUUGUUGGUUUCUAGAAUUGAGAUAAUGAUUAAUAGGGACAAUUGGGGCAUUCGUAUCAACACGUCAGAGGUGGAAUUCUUGGAUUGUGUUGCGACGAACUACUGCGAAAGCAUUUGCCAAGGAUGUUUUCAUUGA
rnacentral:rRNA from 1 species